GUUGUUCACGUUGGUCCCGUCCUCCCGCUCCUCCACGAUCCAGCGCGGGUCCCCCUGGCCCCACUUGGCCAUGGCGGCGCUGACGACGACGGCCCUGGUAGCGGGAGCGCGCGGGUUUCCGGCCAGAAGUGAUCCUCUAGAGACAAAAGAUCGUGCUUGCAAGUGCCUGGGAUUGUGGAUACAGUUACAAUAAGGGUUUAUUAAUUCUUUCCAUCGUUUUUCACCUUCUAGCAAAAACUGAAGCCACCAUCUGGAAAGUGUUUCUUAGGAGAUUAUUUUAACAAAUAAAAUAGGUAGUUCAAUGGGAGAUGGGGAAGGACCUGGCUGCUCUGUGCACUUGCCAUUCAGUGGUCUGCUUAUCAGCAAAACAAGCUGAAAGGGCUAUGGUGUUUAUUGGAGCUAUUGCAUUUCGAUGUGUUCUUCGAGAAGUUACAUCAUUCAAACUGCUGAAGCAAUGCUGUGACCCCCCCCCCCCAAAUCAAACGGCAUUGUUAGUUCAACUGAUCAUACCAAAGGCACAGCUGACAGAAGGCAAGACUCUAGCGAUGAUUGGCGUGUACUUUGUGUGCCUACUUUUCAUCCAGUUCUUCUGUUUGCUCCUGAUAAAACAUUUCAUGAUAAGAUUUAGAUAUGUUCAUUUGAACCUGACAGAAAAUAAGACUUCUGAGGGUAGAAGCUGCUACAAUCACUAAAAUGUAUAAAUACCAAAAUAUACAAGAACUACUCCCAGUAGAAAUAAAUUUACUGGAAUGUAACUCGAUUGUGAGUCUAGGAGACCAAUGGACCCUGAAGCACUCUUCAGAUCUGCGAUUUAAAAAUGACCUCCAAUAAGACAUUGCAAAAAUGGGAAAGAAACAAUGG
ensembl:processed_transcript